UUACGUCCACAUCAAUUUGAAACACUGGUUCCUGUACGAUCACUGAAGUUAAGCAACGUCGAGUCUGGUCAGUACCUAGAAGGGUAACAGCUUGGGAAUACAGGUGCAGUA